rnacentral:rRNA from 1 species
AUUGAACGCUGGCGGCAGGCCUAACACAUGCAAGUCGAACGCGUGGCGGGCGGGUGAGUAAUGUCUGGAAAACUGCCCGAUGGAGGGGUAAAACCACUGGAAACGGUAGCUAAUACCGUAUACUAUCGGGUGUCCCCAGAUGGGUUUAGCGAGUAGGUGGGGUAACGGCUCACCUAGGAGACGAUCCCUAGCUGGUCUGAGAGGAUGACCAGCCACACUGGAACUGAGACACGGUCCAGACUCCUACGGGAGGCAGCAGUGGGGAAUAUUGCACAAUGGGCGCAAGCCUGAUGCAGCCAUGCCGCGUGUGUGAAGAAGGCCUUCGGGUUGUAAAGUACUUUCAGCGGGGAGGCGUUACCCGCAGAAGAAGCACCGGCUAACUCCGUGCCAGCCGCCGCGGUAAUUC